rnacentral:rRNA from 1 species
UCGUAUGGUGACAAGUCUCGUUAAUUCAGUAAAACGAGCGCGAUCUUAGUUGCAUAGAGAGGGUCAAUGUCCUCUUUAGGAUAUUUUGGUCCUCUCCAUCUGCCUUUACUCAAUGACAUUUUUUGUUGUUGAUGUGACGGUGGUGGAAUUGCAAGACAUUCGGUGUAAGGCAUAACGCCUGUAAUCGUAAGGAAGAGUAAGGCGAGAAUA